CAGCAGCCGCUGUAAUACGGAGGGAGCUAGCGUUAUUCGGAAUUACUGGGCGUAAAGCGCACGUAGGCGGCUUUGUAAGUUAGAGGUGAAAGCCUGGAGCUCAACUCCAGAAUUGCCUUUAAGACUGCAUCGCUUGAAUCCAGGAGAGGUGAGUGGAAUUCCGAGUGUAGAGGUGAAAUUCGUAGAUAUUCGCAAGAACACCAGUGGCGAAGGCGGCUCACUGGCCCGAUACUGACGCUGAGGUGCGAAAGCGUGGGGAGCAAACAGGAUUAGAUACCCCCGUAGUCCCUGUCUCUUAUAC
rnacentral:rRNA from 1 species